ensembl:processed_transcript Gm10649 predicted gene 10649
AGUGGCGGCCGGGCUUGGGGCCGGCGGGUCUCCCGGUCUGCUGGUUCGUCCUGCAGUGACUGUGGAGGUCCCGGGAGCCCGCCAGUCCAGCGAUAUCUCUGCUUCUAGGAGUCACAACAUACAACAUGACCACUGACCUCCUCAUUUGAUGUCUUCAAAUCCAGGGGAAGAGACCUAUUUACAAAAGAGUUCUCAGUAACCUUCGAUCUGCAGGUGAUUCCCAAGGAAGACUGAGUCCUUUUGGAAAGGCUCAAGUGAGAUGUGGAAGCAUGGAGACAUUGUGGUGGAACAGAGCUCUCAGUGAUAACAUAUUGAGAAGAGGUACUCAAAAGAAUGGAUGCAGUGAGAGGAUCUGCCUGGAAAGAAGCCAGGAUUUGUGGUCCAGGCAGUCUUCCAUCCAGGAGACCUGGCAAGGAGGAUGCCAAGGCAACAGACCGUGGCGUGGCCUCACACUCCUGUCUUGUGACCCUUCUCAUUGACAAAGGCAGGCUACAAUAAAGAAAGCAGGUUAACAAAAUUGCUACAGAGAGAUGAAAACAUCACAUUUGAACAUCUAAGAAUGUUUCCCAAGGGAGAGUCUCUGGAGGAGAAAAAAGAGGGCCUCUGCGAAGUCAAAGAUGGAAUUUAAUAACAUAAUAUUGUAUUAUUUUCAGUUUGGAUCUGUUUCUAUGCAAAACAUUUUGUCCAUUCGUGAGGUCUUUACACAAUAUUCAAUCCAGCCAUUCCAGAAAAGCCUGAUUAAUCAUUAGGGAUCAAGUAUGCGAUAUGUGCAAAAUAGCUUUCCAGGAGAAACACAAGAAGUAUUAGGUGUUUCAUAAAAUAAAACUGUUUGUACUUAGC